rnacentral:lncRNA from 1 species
GGGGUUUAACGUUCUGGGUUAUUAUGAUGUAGAGCUGGUGGGGGUGAGGGACAGUAGGCAGUGGUUGGAGUUUAUAGGUGAGGGCAAGGGACAUAGCUCAGUGCAAGGACCCUGGUUUCAAUUGCCAACAACACAAAAGAAAACAAAACAGCUUUGUUAUGUCUGAAGAAAGAUGCCUGAUUUUCCAUAGCUCAAGCAUCUCAUUCUGUUGUCAAGGCAAUGUCUGCAUGCCACGUGACCGGAAGCCCUCAGAACCAAACACGGAAGAGACACAGCUUCAGCAGGGACCGCGUGGCAGCCACGGCAAAGACACUGCCUGGAAAGUAAAACAGGAGCUCUCCCAGGGACGGUGGAAUCCACUAGAACAGCAACUGCUCCGCGAGAUGCAAAAAAUGAAGAACUUGAAACUGUAAAACUCCUAAAAGAAAAUCCAGAAAAAAAUAAUAAACCCC